ensembl:lncRNA
CUUAUAAUCUGGCCCCGCCCUGUUUUUUCCAGCUUCUCUCUCAUCCCUCUCCCACACCACAUUUCAUACUCCAGCCAGAGUGAAUGCUUGCAAAUCCCCUGAAUGUACAAUAUUCACUCUUGCCUUUGACUUUUUGCACAUGCAGUUUCCUUAACCUAUGGCUCCAUCUCUUCCCUCCUCCAUUUCCCCUGGCCAAAACUUUCAGGCAACGAGCUCCCUAAGGGGAAGAACUUGAUCUUAUUCCCUGCUGGCUUCCCAGAACCUAACACAAAGUAGUCUCCACUCCAUCUCUUUAAUGAAGGGGUUCCCAACCUCCGGGCCAUGGACUGGUACCUCCUGUCAGAUCAGCAGCGGCAUUAGAUGAGAAAUAAAGUGCACAACAAAUGUAGUGUGCCUGAAUCAUCCCGAAACCAUCCCCCACUCCAAUCCGUGAAAACACUGUCUUCUAUGAAACCAGUCC